UGAAAGAAAAAAUUUUCAGUAACUCCUGCUCAAUGAAUUUAAAUGGCCGCAGUUAUCUGUGCUAAGGUAGCAUAAUCACUUGCCUACUAAUUAUAGGAUAGAAUGAAAGGAUGCACAUGUGAGCUUCUUUAUUAACACAAUUCUCUUAACUUAACAAAUAAGUAAAAAUCCUUAUUUCCUUAGGGGGACGACAAGACCCUAUUAAACUUUACAUCUUUGUUCAGCUGGGGCGGCAACAAAACUAUAACUUUUUUUUACCUCCAUAAUCCAACUUUUAUAAAAAAUCACCAAGUUACUAUAGGGAUAACAGCAUAAUUCUCUCCUAAAGACCUUAUAAAAAAGAGAGUUUGUGACCUCGAUGUUGAAUUAAGGUCCUGCUAGAAGCAGUAUUCUAAAAAGGAAGUCUGUUCGACUUUUUAUUCCUU
rnacentral:rRNA from 1 species